UGCAAUGGAGCACACGGCUUGUGCAUCGAUGAAGCCCGCGGCAAAAAGCGAUAUGUAAUGAGAUUCGUUAGCCUCGCGAUUCAUCAAAUUGGUGAACACAUACUGGACCUCUUCGGAGGUACUUGCGUUAGAGUGCUAGUUUUAUAUCAAUUGAUCCUGGUAAAAGGUG
rnacentral:rRNA from 1 species